rnacentral:rRNA from 1 species
AUCUUGGACACUGGGGGAAACCCUGAUCCAGCCAUGCCGCGUGUGUGAAGAAGGCCUUCGGGUUGUAAAGCACUUUUGUUGGGGAAGAAAAGCCAUGGGUUAAUACCCUGUGGUUCUGACGGUACCCAAAGAAUAAGCACCGGCUAACUUCGUGCCAGCAGCCGCGGUAAUACGAAGGGUGCAAGCGUUACUCGGAAUUACUGGGCGUAAAGCGUGCGUAGGUGGGUUGUUAAGUCUGAUGUGAAAGCCCUGGGCUCAACCUGGGAAUGGCAUUGGAUACUGGCAGGCUAGAGUGCGGUAGAGGGUAGUGGAAUUCCCGGUGUAGCAGUGAAAUGCGUAGAGAUCGGGAGGAACAUCUGUGGCGAAGGCGACUACCUGGACCAGCACUGACACUGAGGCACGAAAGCGUGGGGAGCAAACAGG